rnacentral:rRNA from 1 species
UACGUAGGGAGCAAGCGUUGUCCGGAAUCAUUGGGCGUAAAGCGCGUGUAGGCGGUUCGGUAAGUCCGCUGUGAAAGUCCAGGGCUCAACCCUGGAAAGCCGGUGGAUACUGUCGGGCUAGAGUCCGGAAGAGGCGAGUGGAAUUCCUGGUGUAGCGGUGAAAUGCGCAGAUAUCAGGAGGAACACCAAUGGCGAAGGCAGCUCGCUGGGACGGUACUGACGCUGAGACGCGAAAGCGUGGGGAGCAAACAGG